AACGAACGCUGGCGGCAUGCCUAACACAUGCAAGUCGAACGAGACCUUCGGGUCUAGUGGCGCACGGGUGCGUAACGCGUGGGAACCUGCCCUUAGGUUCGGAAUACCUCCCCGAAAGGGGUGCUAAUACCGGAUAAUGUCUUCGGACCAAAGAUUUAUCGCCUUUGGAUGGGCCCGCGUUGGAUUGGCUAGUUGGUAGGGUAAAAGCCUACCAAGGCGACGUUCCAUAGCUGGUCUGAGAGGAUGAUCAGCCACACUGGGACUGAGACACGGCCCAGACUCCUACGGGAGGCAGCAGUGGGGAAUAUUGGACAAGGGGCGAAAGCCUGACCCAGCAAUGCCGCGUGAGUGAGGAAGGCCGUAGGGUUGUAAAGCUCUUUUACCCGGGAUGAUAAUGACAGUACCGGGAGAAUAAGCUCCGGCUAACUCCGUG
rnacentral:rRNA from 1 species